rnacentral:pre_miRNA from 1 species
CUUGUACUCCCUCCAUCCGAAAAUACUUGUCAUUGAAAUGGAUGUAUCUAUAUGUAUUUUAGUUCUAGACACAUCCAUUUUGAUGACAAGUAAUUCCGGACGGAGGGAGUACUUG